rnacentral:misc_RNA from 1 species
ACAACAUCUGUCAUUGUUGUAUAAUCUUAAAAGUAUUGAAAAGAGAAUAGAAAAACGAAAAAAAGAAAGACAGAGCGCAAAGAGAGAAAGAGAAAUUGAUAAUAGAGAGAUAGAGAUAAGAUUUAAAAAAAAAUUGAAUGUAGUAACAUUUUUUUUAUCGAUUUUUUUUAUAGCUUAAACAGAGGACUUUGAACUGUGAGGAGAUUCUAUUGUUUUCUAAAAAAAGAAAUGUUCAUAUUUACUGCAACAAAUCAGGAAAACAAUGAAGAGCAUAGCGAAAGUUACAAGAUCAUUAAUGCCGCUACAAACAGCUACCAAACAAAUAACAAAGAGACGGAAGGCGAACACAUUAAGAAACCACCAAGAUUCAAUAAGAAAUUAAUCAUUUUAGUAAUUCUAUUUCUUAUUAAUUUCAUUAAUUCCCUGUUUAUUUCCUUAUUAUCACCAUUUUUUCCAACGGUGGCGAUUAGUAAAGGGGCUAGUCGAACAGAAAUAGGAAUUAUUCUCGGCAGCUAUCAACUUGUUAUGCUACUUUCGACACCAGUUUUUGGCAAAAUAGUAUAAUUAUACCAUACUGUUAAAAAAAGAUAUUUACUCAAAUUCCUCUCCUAAUUAGAUAUCAAAAACUGGUGCAAAAUUUAUGUUUGUCGCGGGAAGCUUUAUAGUUAGCAUUUGUACAGCUUUAUUCGGGUCAGAAUUUCAUAAGUUUUCAUUUAUUUCUUUAUUGGUUCCUCGCUAUAAUCCAUUGAAUAUUUAAAUAUCUCACCUUCCCAUUUACAGAAUACUUGAAUGGAGUCCCAACGGGCCUAUUUAUGUGGUUAUGUGCUGCCUCAGUAGAACAAGCGAAGCUCUUGGAGCGGCAGCAUCCACAACGGCGGGCUGCGCUAUAGCGUCGUUCCUGUUCUUGGACAAUCUUAAUUUUGUUAUGGGCUUAUUACAAGCAGCAAAAGCUUUAGGUCUCAUGAUCGGACCAAUUUUCGGAGGUUUAUUGUACUCUGUCGAUGGUUUUUAUUUACCUUUUGCUGUUACUGCAUCUAUUUACUUUCUGCUGACAAUAGUCGCCUUUUUUCUAUUGCCGUCAAUUGACAACAAUCAACAGCUAACUAAUAGUAAUAUAUCAAUAAUUCCUCUUCUCAAAAGUCCUACCAUCAUCGUAAUAGGAUGUUUGUUAGCCGUAGCUCAGAUGUUACUGGGUUUUAUAGACGUGUCACUAGCUCCUUACCUCCAACAGUUUCAUUUAAGUCCUGUUCAAGUGGGUGGAAUCUUUUUAAUUGCUCCGGCUACUCUCGCUCUAUCUUCGCCAAUUUACGGAAAAAUCUGUGAUAAACUUGGAAAAGAAAGAUCUGUAUUAAUUGUUGGUAUUUCAAUUAGUUUGAUAGGAUUUCUAUUAAUUGGUCCUUCUAAACUGUUCUUCUUUAUAAGGUGUAAACUUUGGCUGGUAGGCGUCAGCUUUGCUAUUGCAGGAAUUGGAUGGGGAAGUAUUAUAACUACUUAUAAAGAAUUCGUUGAUGUUGCCAAAUCCAAAGAUUAUCCCGAAGGGAUAGAGACAGACGGAAUAAUAUCUGGUUUAUACAACGCCUACAACAAUUUUGGAGCAUUUCUUGGCCCAACAAUAAGCGGGUAUAUUGUUGAUCAACUGGGCUUUCAAUGGUCAUCAACACUAUUUGGGGGAAUAUUCGCUCUAAGCUUGAUUAGUCUCAUUGGUCUUACUGCAGUUGAAAGAUGCUUUCAGAGUAAUAGGAAUUUGGGAAGGAUACCAAUGGUUAUAGAGGAAUAG